UACGGAGGGUGCAAGCGUUAAUCGGAAUUACUGGGCGUAAAGCGCACGUAGGUGGUUUGCUAAGUCAGCUGUGAAAUCCCCGGGCUCAACCUGGGCACUGCAGUUGAAACUGGCAAGCUAGAGUAGGGUAGAGGGGUGUGGAAUUCCAGGUGUAGCGGUGAAAUGCGUAGAUAUCUGGAGGAACACCGGUGGCGAAGGCGGGUCUCUGGGCCGAAACUGGACGCUGAGGAGC
rnacentral:rRNA from 1 species